GCCCCGAAGGCCUAGUGGUAAGAGCGUCCGCCUCAAAUGCGGGAGGUCGUGGGUUUGAACCUCAACCGAGUCA